rfam:Heligmosomoides polygyrus genome assembly, scaffold: HPBE_scaffold0004906
CCAACGGCCCUUUUUAGGGCCACAUAUGCUGGUACAUGUCGCGU